GACGAUUUUUGUAAUUUACUCUUUAUAGAAUUUUCCCAAGUUUUUGAAGAAGCUGAUAACUCUAUGAAGGUGAUUAUUAGCACUUGUUUUGUUCUGAAGCAAACAUAUCUCAUGCAUUCACAUUUUGUAAGAAUGUCAUGAUUACCUGGCUAUGCAACAUGUUUAUGGCUAGAGAUUAGCAUAUCAGCACUCUGGAUUUUGGAAGGUCAUAUCGUUCCCCGUUGAUGCAGUGACAGAUACAUAUGGAACAUUUCUACCUGAUGGAACAGCUUUACAGUUUCAGCAGAUUCUGAGCUUAAGUGUUUUAGAGGUGCCAAAAUGGUUUGGUUGGACGGCUUGAAAGUUGAAUAACAGGUCAAAAUAAGUAAACUUUGUACUGGUCAAACAUGUCGUGUGUGUAUUGGGUUGACCCAAAAAUACUUUAUGUCAAAACAUUUUAAAUAUGUUUAUAAACGAUUAGUGUUCUUUUCAA